GAUGAACGCUGGCGGCGUGCCUAAUACAUGCAAGUCGCGCGGAGCGGGGACGGGUGAGUAACACGUGGAUAACCUCCUAUAAACCUGGGAUAAAUUCGGGAAACCGGAGCUAAACCGGCUACUUAUAGAUGGAUCCGCGCUGCAUUAGCUAGUUGGUAAGGUAACGGCUUACCAAGGCAACGAUGCAUAGCCGACCUGAGAGGGUGAUCGGCCACACUGUAACUGAGACACGGUCCAGACGCCGACAGGAGGCAGCAGGAGGGAAUCGUCCGCAAUGGGCGAGAGCCUGACUUAGCAAAGCCGCGUAAGUGAUGAAGGUCUUCGGAUCGUAAAACUAUGUUAUUAGGGAAACGGUACCAAAUCAGAAAGCCACGGCUAACUACGUGCCAGCAGCCGCGGUAAUAC
rnacentral:rRNA from 1 species